rnacentral:tRNA from 1 species
UGGGGCGUCGCCAAGCGGUAAGGCACUGCCCUUUGGAGGCAGCAUUCGAAGGUUCGAAUCCUUCCGCCCCAGCCA